rnacentral:rRNA from 1 species
CUCAGUAAGUCGGAACAGGGCAGCCACUAGAGUUUGAUUUGGGAAACUGGGUCUAAUACCGGAUAUGACCACAGCAUGCAUGUGUUGUGGUGGAAAGAUUUAUCGGUGCAGGAUGGGCCCGCGGCCUAUCAGCUUGUUGGUGGGGUAAUGGCCUACCAAGGCGACGACGGGUAGCCGACCUGAGAGGGUGACCGGCCACACUGGGACUGAGACACGGCCCAGACUCCUACGGGAGGCAGCAGUGGGGAAUAUUGCACAAUGGGCGGAAGCCUGAUGCAGCGACGCCGCGUGAGGGAUGAAGGCCUUCGGGUUGUAAACCUCUUUCAGCAGGGACGAAGCGUGAGUGACGGUACCUGCAGAAGAAGCACCGGCUAACUACGUGCCAGCAGCCGCGGUAAUACGUAGGGUGCGAGCGUUGUCCGGAAUUACUGGGCGUAAAGAGUUCGUAGGCGGUUUGUCGCGUCGUUUGUGAAAACCCGGGGCUCAACUUCGGGCUUGCAGGCGAUACGGGCAGACUUGAGUGUUUCAGGGGAGACUGGAAUUCCUGGUGUAGCGGUGAAAUGCGCAGAUAUCAGGAGGAACACCGGUGGCGAAGGCGGGUCUCUGGGAAACAACUGACGCUGAGGAACGAAAGCGUGGGUAGCAAACAGGAUUAGAUACCCUGGUAGUCCACGCCGUAAACGGUGGGCGCUAGGUGUGGGUUCCUUCCACGGGAUCUGUGCCGUAGCUAACGCAUUAAGCGCCCCGCCUGGGGAGUACGGCCGCAAGGC